UCUUCCCUCUUUCUUCGUGCCUAAUACAUGCAAGUCGAGCGAACGGACGAGAAGCUUGCUUUUCUGAUGUUAGCGGCGGACGGGUGAGUAACACGUGGAUAACCUACCUAUAAGACUGGGAUAACUUCGGGAAACCGGAGCUAAUACCGGAUAAUAUUUUGAACCGCAUGGUUCAUAAGUGAAAGACGGUCUUGCUGUCACUUAUAGAUGGAUCCGCGCUGCAUUAGCUAGUUGGUAAGGUAACGGCUUACCAAGGCAACGAUGCAUAGCCGACCUGAGAGGGUGAUCGGCCACACUGGAACUGAGACACGGUCCAGACUCCUACGGGAGGCAGCAGUAGGGAAUCUUCCGCAAUGGGCGAAAGCCUGACGGAGCAACGCCGCGUGAGUGAUGAAGGUCUUCGGAUCGUAAAACUCUGUUAUUAGGGAAGAACAUAUGUGUAAGUAACUGUGCACAUCUUGACGGUACCUAAUCAGAAAGCCACGGCUAACUACGUG
rnacentral:rRNA from 1 species